GACGAACGCUGGCGGCGUGCUUAACACAUGCAAGUCGAGCGGUAAGGCCCUUUCGGGGGUACACGAGCGGCGAACGGGUGAGCAACACGUGGGUGACCUGCCCUCAGCUCUGGGAUAAGCCUGGGAAACCGGGUCUAAUACCGGAUAUGACUCCAUGACGCAUGUUGUGGGGUGGAAAGCCUUGUGCGGCUGAGGAUGGGCCCGCGGCCUAUCAGCUUGUUGGUGGGGNGAUGGCCUACCAAGGCGACGACGGGUAGCCGGCCUGAGAGGGCGACCGGCCACACUGGGACUGAGACACGGCCCAGACUCCUACGGGAGGCAGCAGNGGGGAAUCUUGCGCAAUGGGCGAAAGCCUGACGCAGCGACGCCGCGUGAGGGAUGACGGCCUCGG
rnacentral:rRNA from 1 species